UUUUGCUUAUUAUUAUUCUAGGCUUCGGUUUGGUUCAGGUCAUGAGUUUAGUUUGAUGUUAAUUCUUUAAGUCUCUGUCGUCCCUGGGUUCCAUGUGUUAUAUUCUUUCAGUUUGCCUCUCAGUGUCAAGUCUGUGUCUUUGUGAUUCGUUUCGUGUUUCCUGUUUUAUUUUGAUAGUCCCAGUCUGAUGUCAGAGUGUUCAGUUCUACUUCUCUCCUGUCUCGUUAGUCUAAUUUCUCUCAGCUGUGUCUCCCUCCUGUUUCCCAUUCCCUGAUUACUCCACAGUGUACAUAAACCCCGUGUUUUCCUUUGCUCUCUGUUGCGUCGUUAAUGUCUGCUCACCCUCGGAUGUUGCUGUGUGUUCCGUUACCUGUUUUGCCUGCCUGUUAGUUUAUUUUUCCUCAGUGCGGCGCACGGAGCUUUCCGCUACACACUGGCGACCGCCAUUGGAGACUGGAAUCUCAACACAGCUGCUGCGGAAUUCCUCCUCAUGCCAUUCUGAGCCUAACUCACCGGCCUCUUUCUUGGCAGCAAUGUGGUCAGAGGAUGAAGAGCAAGCCUUCAUCGCUCCACCAUCACCAGUUUCCUCCAUCACCUCUGUUCCCUCAUCAGGGAGGAAACGUCGUUCACGCCACCGGCAUCCCUUAACUCAGCCGGAUUCUGGGACUUCUGAGCAGCCGGCUGGGAGCAAUACUGAGCUGCAGUGGGCAGAAAGGCAGGAAAGUGAAUUCUGGUCUUGUUACUUUAAAUCGAGAAAGCCGAUGGAGGCAGCAGCAGCAGGUAGCAGGAGGGUACUAUUAUUGUCACAGAGAGAGCUGUCUGACUGAGGUACUGCAACAGCAGAGGGGCACCAAUACUCCUUGGAAGCGUGUAGUCCGCCAAACCAACGAAGAAGAAGAGAGCGCCACUUCUAACGGUCCAGACUCCGCUCAGCAAGGGACUGUCAGCAGCACCCUGCACUGAACCUUCUAUUUCAAUAUCCAAAUCAGUGUGGAGCAGAAUGCACCAUAGAGAUUUACAACUCUCCUGUUGAAUGCCUAAAGACUGAAGACUGCAAGGAAAGAACGCUAAUCUACACUGAGCAUCUGACAAGACUUGCAUCCAAGUCCUCAAACAUAUUGAAUCCAAAACCUGUUCCAGUUCCUCAGACACCAUCAGACUGUUUUGAAAGCCCUUUUACUAUCAAGUCUGGAUAAAAAAACUUUGUCAACCACUGCAAGUAUCAAGUAUUUAAAAAAAAAAAAAAAAAAAAAAAAAAAAUUAUUUGACUGUUUAUUUUGUACUUAUUUGUUUUUGGUUGUAUUAAGUUUGAUAUUAAUUAGAUCAGUGCCUUUUUAGUCAUUAAUUUGAUUAUUUAAUAUUAACUGUUAUGUUUAUUGCCACAUUUGUUGGACCUUAAUUUUUUUAGACGACAUUCUGGCUACAACAGCUGACAAUAAUUUACUGUAAAUAUGAACUUUUGAAUAAAAAACAUGUUUUGUAUUA